rnacentral:rRNA from 1 species
GUAAGCUACUAAGAGUAAGUGGUGGAUGCCUUGGCUAGUAGAGGCGAUGAAAGACGUGCCAGGCUGCGAUAAGUCUCGGGGAGCCGUCAAGGGGCUUUGAUCCGGGAAUUUCUGAAUGGGGCAACCCAGUUAAGCGCGAGCUUAACUACCUAAUAUGGAGCGAACGAGGGGAAUUGAAACAUCUUAGUACCCUCAGGAAAAGAAAUCAAAAGAGAUUACGCCAGUAGCGGCGAGCGAACGCGUAAGAGGGCAAACCGUUAGUUUACUAACGGGGUUGUAGGACUGCGAUAUAGACUAAACUUAGCUAAUAGAAUAAUCUGGAAAGAUUAAGCGUAGAGGGUGAUACUCCCGUAUAUGAAAGCUUUGUUUUACUUAGCGGUAUCCUGAGUAGGGCGGAACACGUGAUAUUCUGUCUGAAGCUGGGUCGACCACGAUCCAACCCUAAAUACUACUACUAGACCGAUAGUGCACAAGUACCGUGAGGGAAAGGUGAAAAGAACUGAGGUGAUCAGAGUGAAAUAGAACCUGAAACCAUUUGCUUACAAUCAUUCAGAGCCCUAUGAUUUAUCAGGGUGAUGGACUGCCUUUUGCAUAAUGAGCCUGCGAGUUGUGGUGUCUGGCGAGGUUAAGGAAACCCGGAGCCGUAGCGAAAGCGAGUCUUAAUAGGGCGUUUAGUCAGAUGCUGCAGACCCGAAACGAUGUGAUCUAUCCAUGAGCAGGUUGAAACCGGUGUAAGAGCCGGUGGAGGACCGAACCCGCUAGCGUUGAAAAGCUAUGGGAUGACUUGUGGAUAGGGGUGAAAGGCCAAUCAAACAUCGUGAUAGCUGGUUCUCUCCGAAAUAUAUUUAGGUAUAGCGUCAUGUAGUAACACUAGGGGGUAGAGCACUGAAUGGGCUAGGGCAUACACCAAUGUACCAAACCCUAUCAAACUCCGAAUACCUAGUGCGUAAUCAUGGCAGUCAGGCGGCGAGUGAUAAAAUCCGUCGUCGAGAGGGGAACAACCCAGACUAACAGCUAAGGUCCCUAAAUCUCAUUUAAGUGGAAAACGAUGUGAAGUUACUUAAACAACCAGGAGGUUGGCUUAGAAGCAGCCAUCCUUUAAAGAAAGCGUAAUAGCUCACUGGUCUAGUGAUUCUGCGCGGAAAAUAUAACGGGGCUAAAAUGAGUACCGAAGCUUUAGAUAGUGUCUAUGAUUAUUUAUACUUGGCUUGGCUUUUGAGCGUCUUUAAAUGAGCUCGUAAAAAUAAAUGCUCACGAACUAUAUGUUCGCUUCGCUUUAUUUUUACGUCGCAACAUUUAAAUCCAUCUCAAAAAUCCUGCGCCAUCUUGAGUUCAAAUUUGAACUAAAUGUCUUAAUCUAAAAUUCUAUAAAUUUCAAAUUUCUUAGAAUUUUAAAAUUUAGCAACAAAAAGCAAAAAGACAAAUAAAGCUUUUAAGAUAAAGGCGAAGUAAUUUUGUCUUUAGGCGAGGCGAAUUUUAGCAAAGCAAGGGAGUUAUCGUUUGGAUAAUGACCGAAGCUGAGCGAAAAUUCAACGAAGCAUAAAGCAAAAAGACAAGCCUAAGUAAAGUAUAAAUACUCAUAGACACUGUGGUAGGAGAGCGUUGCAUUCAGCGUCGAAGGUGUACCGGUAAGGAGCGCUGGAGCGAAUGCAAGUGAGCAUGCAGGCAUGAGUAGCGAUAAUUGGGGUGAGAAUCCCCAACGCCGUAAACCCAAGGUUUCCUACGCGAUGCUCGUCAUCGUAGGGUUAGCCGGGUCCUAAGCAAAGUCCGAAAGGGGUAUGCGAUGGAAAAUUGGUUAAUAUUCCAAUGCCAACUAUAAUGUGCGAUGGAAGGACGCUUAGAGUUAAGCAAGCUAGCGGAUGGUAGUGCUAGUCGAAAGGUGUAGGUUAAGAUCCAGGCAAAUCCGGAUCUUUUUAAGCCGAGACCCCACAGGCGUUUGAAGUUCUUCGGAAUGGAUAGCGAAUUGCUGAUACUGUCGAGCCAAGAAAAGUUUCUAAGUUUAGUUAUAGUUGCCCGUACCGUAAACCGACACAGGUGGGUGGGAUGAGUAUUCUAAGGCGCGUGGAAGAACUCUCUUCAAGGAACUCUGCAAAAUAGCACCGUAUCUUCGGUAUAAGGUGUGCCUAGCUUCGUUAAGAAUUUACUUCGUAAGCGAAGAAGGUUACAACAAAGAGUCCCUCCCGACUGUUUACCAUAAACACAGCACUCUGCUAACUCGUAAGAGGAUGUAUAGGGUGUGACGCCUGCCCGGUGCUCGAAGGUUAAUUGAUGAUGUUAGCUUAUGCAAAGCAUCUGAUCGAAGCCCGAGUAAACGGCGGCCGUAACUAUAACGGUCCUAAGGUAGCGAAAUUCCUUGUCGGG